CUUGAAGGUUGUAAUUUGGGAAAUGCAUAUAGCUGUGCGAACUUGAGUCAGAUGUAUAACAAAGGAGAUGAAUCAGUGAAGACCAGUUUCAUAAUCAAACUUGAAGUCCCUUCAAUCUUGAAGCUUCCUUUAGUCCUACUGGAAAUGACGUAAAGGACAAUCUAAGCUCAAAGGGAAUUUGAAUUUAAUUAUGAAACUGGCCGAAAGGAAGUAGUAAUAUUUCACGUUUUCGGGUGUUGAAAAAAAUGCAGAAUUAGCAGAGAAAUACAAAGCUAUGACCUUAGAACUCCAAGAACAAAUAACUAGUAACAAUACACUUUCUUUCCAAGGGGGUCUGCCAAAAACGUAAAUUAUUGUUGUCCGAGUGCUCCAGUUAUUCAUCAUGGUCGAGUGUUUAGAAGAUUUUUGUAAUUGAUAUUGAAAUGUUCAAUUUCUGUUAUUUAUUAUGAUGUGCUCAUAGCAGGCACAGUUUUAAUAAAUCCUUCCAGUA